rnacentral:lncRNA from 1 species
GCCCAGUCUUGGGUAUGUCUUUAUCAGCAGUGUGAAAACAGACUAAUACAAGUGCAUUACUUCUAUGAGUAAGUAAGGAGGAAGCAGAUUGCCCCAACAAGAUGCCUCUUUUGUUCAAACCAGAGCUUGUUUAUCACAGAGAAAGAUGGCAAUAAUGUCCUGAGAAAUACGAAUGACCAAGGAACGCUAUCAUACUGUUUUGUGUGUGUGUGUGUGUGUGUGUGUGUGACUUCCCUGGAUGUGUGGAAGUUGACUUCCCUGGAUUAGCCAACCAUUUAUACUGAAAAUUAUGACACUGGUGGAAAAAGACAGGGCAGACUGUAUUUUCUUUUCCUUUCAGUCAUUUCUUAUCAGCAAGCAAAGGUAGGCAGAGUUGGUAGAAUGCGUGAGCAUCAUGAUGUGCAAUAAAAACAGUUAAAUUCGUUUUGUGUAAGUUUCCACUAUUCUUGUAAGAAUGAAAUACACAUGAAUGUAUAAGCUAUGAGAUACAAAUUGUGUAAUUUUGGUGAUUCUAUAUAAAAAUUAGAUGCUCUUAUAUUUGCAUCUAAACCUGGCAUAGUACAAUAUAAAAAUGAAUGGUAAAAUUAUGCUAAUUAUUUAAAAUUUUAACCUUUCUCUACUCAGAAUGACAAAGCAAGUAAAAAUCACCAUAGGAAGUCAAGAAAAAGACACCAACAGAAGAAAGAAAAAACCCUUUAAGGGAACUUCUUCCUGCUUUUUGAACUAGGGACUUCACAUAUUUCUUUUGCAUUGGGCCCCACAAAUAACAGGCCACAAUGAUGCUAUGUUGCUUCCAAGACUAGAUUAUAAAAAUAAUACUCUGGCAUCCACCUCUUCUCCCCCUCCCCCCACGUCCAUUCUCUACCUACCAUCUCUUUCUUAGGGGUUGGGGGAAGGGAGGGAAUUUCAGCCAUUUUGUCAAGACACCUUGGCCAACAACCACCAAGAGCCUGAGUAUUGCCAGCAGACGCAUGAGUGAGCUUGCAAGUGGAUCUUCCCCCUGCUGAGCCUUGAGAGAACUGCAGCCCUGGCUGACAUCUUGAUUGCAGUUGUAGGAGGAACCCUAAGUCAGAAGCACAGCUAAGCCACACCCAGAUUCCCAACCCACAUAAACUCUGAGGUAUAAACAUUGUUGUUUUAAGCUGCUAAAUUGUAGGAUGAUUUGUAAUGCAGCAAUAGAAAAGGAAUACAUUGAGAUUCAGUGGAAUGACAGCUUCCUCCCAAGGACUGAGGAAGAGUCCUCUGACCUAAAUCUUUUAGGAUGAGCAUUUCGUGAUGGAGGAAGUGGCAUCACAGGUAGAAGAUGCUACGUAAUCUAGGCCAGGACAACAUUUCCCAAACCACUUUCUCACAGAACCCCAUCAUAAUCUUAAAAAUUAUUGGAAGACCCCAAAGAGCUUUUAUUUAUGCAUUCUAUACAUAUUGAUAUUUAUCAUAUUAGAAAAUGCAAUUGAGGCAUUUAAAAUUUGUAUUUAUCGAUGGAUUUAGAAACAAUAACAUACCCAUUGCAUGUUGAGAUAGAUAACAUUUUUAAAAAAAUGAAUAUGCUUUCUAAAAAUAAAUUCAGUGAGAAGAAUGGCACUGUGUACAUUUUUGAAAACCCCUUUAAUCCUUGGCUUAAUACAACAAAGCUGGAUUCUAUACCUGCUUCUUCAUUGAAUCUGUUGAAGAGCACAUAUCAAGUAGCCUCUGGAAAACUCCACUGUGCAUUUGUGUAAGAAUGAGAAUAAAAAAGGCAAAUAAUAUCUUAGUCGCUGGACCACACAUUGAGACAAACCGAUCUAGGGCAUGGAGAUGAGAGAGUCCAGAGCACAUACUGACUAAACCAUGUUGAAGAAGGAAAAAUAAGGUUAUUCUCAGAAGGCUUGCAUAUCAUAGUCAAUAGUUUAUUCAGUAGAGGAUUUGGCAGACAUUAUUUGCUGCCCAUCCAAAAGCCAUUUCUGCUCCCUUUCUUCCUUGCUAAAGAAUCCUUGAAUCUGUUCAGAUAUUAGAAGGUCAUGAGUUGAGGGAAAGCAUGUUGAUUGGUGUUCCCUUUCCCAUGAUUGCUAUAAGCACACAUAUGUGACACAACCAUGGUGAUGAAAAGAAAUCAGCUGUGGUUGGUGGUGAUAGCAAAGUGUAAGCUUUCAUUGAUACAGAGGCUUACUCAUUUCUGCCUUUGGUUAUUGUGCUGCUUCUGCUUGCUGUAGCCUUCCUGUUUCAAUGAUGAGAAGGCCAAAGGAAUCUGUGAGCUGACCCAGAGCCCGCAUGUUGUUGACAAGCCACAGAGUUGCCCAACCUCUUUUAUUGUUAUUUUGAUUCAGGGAAUUCCUGAAGAUUCUGAAAUUGUGAACUGACAAGCCCAUGGAUGUCUACAAAGAGUGAACUGAUCACUGUGGGCUGGCCUUUGAGGCAUCAGUGAGGUGAUUAUUAAGAUAGUCAAGUUAAAGGUACUAUGGGUCUGAACUACACUGGUGUCAACAGAAACAAAAAGAAUACAGUAAAUGUGAAAGAACUGUGGAGAUAAAUUUUUAGGACUUAGCAGCUGAGUAGAUGGACAUUGGCAUGCACGGACAGGGGAACAGAAGGCAAGCAUCAGCAAUGGCAUGGUUAAUUCUUCGCCUGCAUGAUUAGAAGAAUAGAACAGAAAUACUGCAGGUUGGGCGGGGCGGGGAGUUGAUGGGUUAAAUUGGGACAUACAGAGUCAAGAAACAGAUACCUAAAAUAGAGUGCAUGUGGUUGGUGCUUACAUAAAUGUUUGCUGUGAUCUGGGACAGAAAUGAUCUGAUAGUCAUAGGGUUUGUUUCCUCAUCUCCUUCACAUUUUUACUAAAAUAUUGCUGCCUUAGGAAAGCCUUCCUUGGUCAUCCUAUCUGAAAUUGCAAUAUUCAUGACCUACUUCCUUAACACUCUUGUCCAAUAUAUCCUAAUAAGUCCUGUGUCACUUCUACACUAUUUUUUUACCUGAGCAUUUAUUUAUAUUAAACUACAUAUAUGCUUACUUAUUUAUCAUGUUUUCCUAAUAGAAGGUAAGCUCAAUAAUGGAACUUUUUAUCUGUUUUGCUCACUUUGUAGCUCCAGUGCCUGGGACAAUGCCUGACACUUAGCAGACAGUCAGUGAAUGUGUUAUAUAAAUGAAUGAAUACUUGGAGCGUGAGAAUCAGAGCGGCAAAAAUAUUUGUCCAUAAUAUGCCUAAAGAUAAAAACGGAAGCCUCAGAACUAGAUAAGUGCAUUGUAAUUGAAUGCUGAAUUCACAGAGAUAACAUCUGAGAUUUAUUAAGCAUCAAGUCAUGUCUUAAAAAUUUUAUAUACAUUUUAGGAUUUAACUCUUAUAAAAAUCCUGUGGGUAAGUACUGUUGUCUCUCCCACUUUACAGGUAGAGAGGCUGAGGUUCAGAGAGAUUAGGUAACUCAACUAAGGUCAAAAAGUUGGUCAGGGAGCUGGGCCUUUAUAUAAAACACCAAAAUGAGCCCUUGUGUAGAACCCUUGAGAGAGAUUUUAAUCUAAUGGCUGCAAUUUUAAAUUGUGUUCAGUUGUGGUAUGUAGUUUUUCAAGGAAGAUGACCCACAGCCUUUCUUGCUUUCUGGCUUUGGAAAAGGUAGAGAUGACCACUUAAACAUUCAAGGAAAAUAAUCCCUGACUUUGAAAUCAGAAGAUCAUUCAGAUAAUAUACUUACUUAUAAUCAUCCUCUCUAAUGUCUGACUAAAGCAAGAGUAAAAGAUUGACUGAACAGCAACAAAUACUUUAACAGUUAAAAAUAAAAUUGAUUGGUCUGUUGGAAACACAAAGCACUUUUAGCCCCAUUGGUUUUCUACCUGAAACCAGAGUGAAGUGACCUGAAGGAUCUCAUAAGAUAUAUAAGACCAGCAACUAUAGGAAAGAUGAUACUUUUCUUGAAGUCAUAUAUUGUCUAAGUUGAAGUUACAUGACUUAGAAGGUCAGAUGUGCCAUCUUUUCCCUUAAUGCCCCAGAGAUUCUCUUCACCAAGAAAAUGACUACAUACUUAUUUCAUUUAAAACAGACUCAGCCUAGUGAUGGUUUUCCUUCUUCUAUAAAAAAGCAGGCUAUUCAUGAAGAUAAGGACCCUUUUGGCUUUGCAACACGUUUUCAACAUUUUACUCAUGGACAUGAGAUGGUAAAACAAGAUGAAAAUGAUUCUUUUAUUGGGCAUUCAAUUAAAAAAUGUCAUGACUUUGCCAUUAGUUUGUAUAAAUCCUAGAAAUGAGUUUCAACGAGAGUGUGUUAUUAUGUUGGGAAAGAGACGGAAGUGUAUAACCUUGGGCAGAUCGUUUAACUUCUCUCUGCUUUACAGUUACAAGCGGUAAUACAAAGAGACAGGAUUAUAUGAUCUCCAAGGUCCCAUCCAGCCCAUUUAACACGGCAUUGUGGCUCUGGAGACCUGGAAGCACUGCUAACUGUUCUCUCGAUUUUCUGACGCUCGGCCACAUCAACCUGUCAUACUAGUUGUGAGGAGAAGUCAAGGACAGUGACACAGCCAGCCAGUCUGAGGCAUUUUCCAUCAUCCUGAAGGAGUUGCCCUAUCCUGCUUUUCACUGGAGGGGGCAUGGAUGGGUAGGUAAACACACCUGCCGUGAAGUUUCCAGUUCUAUCCUCCUGCAAGGCCUUCGGGGAUAAGUGUGUUAGAAGAUUGGUCAGUAUCAUUUGCCAACUUGAUGUCUCUUCCUUUUUUAAUGAUCCUUAGUUUCCCCACUGUUUCCUGUCACAGGAUUCAAUUUCACUCCACAUUCAUCCUUUCUUACUGGGCACUGAUGUUGAGAGCAUCAGGCAGGGUAUAAUGUUAUGUUGCAGUAACAAACACCCUCAAUAUCUCAGUGGCUUAAAAUGACAACGAUCUUUUUUUUGUUUGUUUGUUUAUGCUCUAUAUCACCCAGGGAUCCUGGAUGACAAAGCAGUCACCUACUUGAACACUGCUAAUUAUGAAGUCAGAAAGAGGAAAGUUUGCAGAGUUUUGUAUUGGCAAUCAAACAUUCAGCCACAGGUCACAGUCUAGAACCAGACACAUCAGUGUCCUCAACUGCAAAGUAGCCAGGAAGCAGCAUCCCAUAACACAGUCCUAUGUCCACUGUUUUGGAGUUACUCAAGACCUAAGUGUUUUCUUGGAACUGUGUUUGUUACUGAGGAAGCCACAAAUUAAAUAUAAGUCUGCUCUUCAAGAGGUUACAUUCCAGUUAAGGAGAUUGCAUAUCCAUAUUUCCAGAAGUACCAAUGUGAUUGAAGCAAGGGAAAUUGCUAUGGGAUAUCUGACCAACUGGAUAUUCUGCUGGAAGAGCAGAAUGCACUUCAAAGACUAGCCAAUAAAACUCUCAUGUAAGAUAUGUUUUUCUUUUUGUUUCUAUUUAACUAAUGAAUAGAACCUCAGUGAUUUAAGGAAAGGCAGGCCCAUGAUAUGGAAAGAGAAGGGGAUGAUGAUGAUAUUCUGGAAUGGUCGUGCAAGGCUUCAGGAGGAAGUGAGAGUGAUGAUUGAAUCAUAUAACUCCUGAAUAAAUAUCUGGAAUAAACAUCUCCAGAAUAAAACAUCUGGAGGAUUCUCAGUAUACUUAGAAUAAAAUUGAGCCUCCUCAUGAAGGCCUACUAGCACCUUCAUGAUCAAACCCCUUUUCAACUUUGACCUUCUUUCUUAUUUUAGGGGCUCCUGACACACUGACCUCUGUCAGUUCCUUCAGCACACCAGGCUAAUCCCCAGUCUUGCGCCUUUGGACCAGAGGUUUUCUUUGCUCAGAAUACUGUUUCAACAGAUCUUUGCAUAGCUGGCUCUCGCUAUUUGACUAAAAUGUCAAUCCUCAGAGAGGUACUCCUUAAAUAUCCAAUCUUAAGUAGCAUCCCUUUCUCCCAGGAUCCUGUUUUUCAGAACUCUGUUUUCUUUUUAAAACACUUGUUAUCUGAAAGGAUGUCGUCUGCUUGCUUGUUUGUUCAUUUCUUUAUUGUCUAUUCCAUCUCACCCCUUCUCAGGAUGUAAGCUGUUUAAAGGCAAGGACCUUAUCUGUGUUACAUGCUGUAUUCCCAGGGCUCAGACAGAGCAUGACCUAUCGUAUGUACUAAAUAAAUAUCUCCUCAUACUGUAAAGCUUUCCUGACUCUAAUCUCUCUUUUGGGGACCAUUACCAAGCCUCAUUACUGGCUUCUUUCUCUUUAAUGCCACUUUUACUAUAUAGCAAAUGUUCUGGCCAGUGGGAUGUUGCUAGAAGUGCAGAAUGCACUUCUAAGACUAGCCAAAAUAAAGAAAGAAAGAAAGAAAGAAAGAAAGAAAGAAAGAAAGAAAGAAAGAAAGAAAGAAAGAAAAACAGAAAACAGAAAAAAAAACCUCUCACUUAAGUUUUUUUUCUUUCUAUUAAAUUAAUGAAUAGAACCUCAGUGAGGUUCUAUUUCCUUAGAAAUAGAAGGAAUUUCUAAGGCAGGUCCUUCUGCCUUAGAAGGAAAGGCAGGUCCACGAUAUGGAAAGACCCUUGGCCCCUGCAGGACCUUGUAUUAGGCUGCCUGAUUGGCACCAUCUUCUCUGACCUAUGAUGAGAGUAACAAGUGUGUGUGUGUGUGUGUGUGUUUGUGCGUGUGUGAGAGAGAAAGAGAGAGAGGAGAGAAAGAGAGAGAAAGAGAGAGAGAGAGAGAGAGAGAGAGAGACCUCUGAGAAUUUGGCACUUAUCUGUUAUAGCAUUUGAUAUUGCUUACCCUAUCAUACAUGGCAACAAAAUCUUCCAUCAUUUGGCUACAUGCACUUUUCUAACUCUUCAAGUACUAUACACAUUCUCAACCAUAAACUGUUCUUUCUUUUGAAAGGACAGUUUUUCUGUCUUAAUUCUACCUUGACUUCUAUCCUAUAGCAUUCUGCAGUGAAAAGGACAUGGACCUUGGAAUUAAAUUUGAGAUUGAACUCAAGAUCCACCUCAACCUACCAACAUAUAUUCGGCAUGUUACCCACCUCUCUGAACCUUGCUUUCCUUCUUUGUACAGAUGGAGGAAAGUCACGACUAACCAUUCUGUUGUGAAAGAUUAAAUAAGAUGGUGCACAUGACUUCAUAUAUGUUCAUUAAUACAUUUCUUUCUGUUUCUUCAAGAAACUUCUUUCCCUUCUUUACACAUGUAAAAGUCCUUUGAGUCUUACAAGUUCUUCACUAUGCCCCAGGUUUUCUAGAGCACAUUUGGAAAGAAUGUUGACAGAACAGGUAAGAGUACGACCUCUGGGUUCAAAUUUUGGCUUUGACCUUUAAGAGCUAAGUAAACUUAGACAAGUUAUUUAACACCUUUGUACCUCAAGUUCAUCAUCUUUAAAACUGGAAUACUAAUAGUACAUAACUUGUACUGCUCUUUUGAAGGUUCAAUGAGUUAAGGAAUGCAAAGUCCUUAGAAGAGUGUAGUGCACAAAGUAAGCACUACAACAAUAAUACUUAGUUGUUAUUUUAAAUUUUUUUUUUAAACCUUUCAAACCUAACCAUCCCAACUCCUACUGACACUGCUCUUUUCUUUCUUUUUUUAUUUAUUUUUUUGAGGUGGGGUCUCACUCUGUUCUUA